AUUGAACGCUGGCGGCAGGCUUAACACAUGCAAGUCGAACGAGUGGCGGACGGGUGAUUAAUGCUUGGGAAUCUGGCUUAUGGAGGGGGAUAACGACGGGAAACUGUCGCUAAUACCGCGUACCAUAGGAUGAGCCCAAGUGGGAUUAGGUAGUUGGUGGGGUAAUGGCCUACCAAGCCGACGAUCUCUAGCUGGUCUGAGAGGAUGACAAGCCAAAGCGAGACUGAGACACGGCCCGGAAUCCGACGGGAGGCAGCAGUGGGGAAGAUGGCGCAAGGGGAGCAACCUGAAGCAGCCAAGCCGGGUGAAUGAAGAAGGCCUUCGGGUUGUAAAGUUCGUGCGGUGACGAAGCGUUAAUCACAGAAGAAGCACCGGCUAACACCGUGCGAGCAGCCGCGGUAAUAC
rnacentral:rRNA from 1 species